rnacentral:rRNA from 1 species
GUACACUCCUACGGGAGGCAGCAGUGGGGAAUUUUGGACAAUGGGCGAAAGCCUGAUCCAGCAAUGCCGCGUGCAGGAUGAAGGCCUUCGGGUUGUAAACUGCUUUUGUACGGAACGAAAAAGCUCCUUCUAAUACAGGGGGCCCAUGACGGUACCGUAAGAAUAAGCACCGGCUAACUACGUGCCAGCAGCCGCGGUAAUACGUAGGGUGCGAGCGUUAAUCGGAAUUACUGGGCGUAAAGCGUGCGCAGGCGGUUAUGUAAGACAGAUGUGAAAUCCCCGGGCUCAACCUGGGAACUGCAUUUGUGACUGCAUGGCUAGAGUACGGUAGAGGGGGAUGGAAUUCCGCGUGUAGCAGUGAAAUGCGUAGAUAUGCGGAGGAACACCGAUGGCGAAGGCAAUCCCCUGGACCUGUACUGACGCUCAUGCACGAAAGCGUGGGGAGCAAACAGGAUUAGAAACCCCUGUAGUCCCAUGA